rnacentral:tRNA from 1 species
GCCCGGAUGAUGGAAUGGUAGACAUGAUAGAUUCAAAAUCUAUUGUCCGAAAGGGCGUGCGGGUUCGAGUCCCGCUCCGGGCA